rnacentral:misc_RNA from 1 species
ACGAAACAUCCGAUCGAGGGCGUGUAAUUUGGUACAUGGUCAACAGAGUACAUAUGUGUUGCAGGUUUUCCGUCUUGGAUUCGACGGCAGUUCGGCUUCGGCGACAGGAGCGGCGACAUCAGGAGCGACAUUAGUAGCAAAGCAGAUUCCUCAGAGCGACGAUGGAGAGAGAGAACGGAUAUCAACGAGUCUCUCCAAAGAUCGACUACUCUCCAUCCUGUUCCGGUAGAGAUGGAUCUGCAACACAUGAGACGUACUACUCCUUUUUUUUGCGGAGGUAUGUUUCAUUUGAUUUAUCCCUUUCGAGAGUCCCUA